rnacentral:rRNA from 1 species
CCUACGGGGGGCAGCAGUGAGGAAUAUUGGUCAAUGGGCGGAAGCCUGAACCAGCCAAGUAGCGUGCAGGAUGACGGCCCUACGGGUUGUAAACUGCUUUUAUACGGGAAUAACGCGCCUUACGUGUAGGCUUUGCCUGGUCCGUAUUAAUUAGGGCCGGCGAAUUCCGUGCCAGCAGCCCCGGUUAUUAGGGAGGUCCGGGCGUUAUCCGGAUUUAUUGGGGUUAAAGGGGGCGUAGGCCGGAUGUCAAGCGUGCUGUGAAAUGUUCGGGCUCAACCCGGGCCUUGCAGCGCGAACUGGCGUGCUUGAGUCCGCGGAAGGCAGGCGGAAUUCGUGGUGUAGCGGUGAAAUGCUUAGAUAUGACGAAGAACCCCGAUUGCGAAGGCAGCUUGCUGCAGCGGAACUGACGCUGAUGCUCGAAAGCGCGGGUAUCGAACAGGAUUAGAUACCCCUGUAGUC